rnacentral:tRNA from 1 species
GGCCCUAUCGUCUAACGGUUCAGGACGCCGCCCUCUCACGGCGGUAAUAGGGGUUCGAAUCCCCUUAGGGUCACCA